UACGUAGGGGGCAAGCGUUUGUCCGGAUUUAUUGGGCGUAAAGAGCGUGUAGGCGGCCAAGCAGGUCCGCUGUGAAAACUCGAGGCUCAACCUCGAGACGUCGGUGGAAACCGUUUGGCUAGAGUCCGGAAGAGGAGAGUGGAAUUCCUGGUGUAGCGGUGAAAUGCGCAGAUAUCAGGAGGAACACCAAUUGCGAAGGCAGCUCGCUGGGACGUCACUGACGCUGGAGACGCGGAAAGCGUGGGGAGCAAAUAGG
rnacentral:rRNA from 1 species